UACGGUGGGGGCAAGCGUUGUUCGGAAUUACUGGGCGUAAAGUGCUCGUAGGCGGCCCACUAAGUCGGAUGUGAAAUCCCCAAGCUUAACUUGGGAACUGCAUCCGAUACUGGAUGGCUUGAAUCCGGGAGAGGGAUGCGGAAUUCCCAGUGUAGAGGUGAAAUUCGUAGAUAUUAGGAAGAACACCAGUGGCGAAGGCGGCUCGCUGGCCCGGUACUGACGCUGAGGCGCGAAAGCGUGGGGAGCAAACAGG
rnacentral:rRNA from 1 species